UACGUAGGGUGCAAGCGUUGUCCGGAAUUAUUGGGCGUAAAGAGCUCGUAGGCGGUUUGUCGCGUCUGCUGUGAAAACCCGAGGCUCAACCUCGGGCCUGCAGUGGGUACGGGCAGACUAGAGUGCGGAAGGGGCAAUCGGAAUUCUUGGUGUAGCGGUGAAAUGCGUAGAUAUCAAGAGGAACACCUGAGGUGAAGACGGGUUGCUGGGCCGACACUGACGCUGAUGCGCGAAAGCCAGGGGAGCAAACGGG
rnacentral:rRNA from 1 species